rnacentral:rRNA from 1 species
GUGCCAGCAGCCGCGGUAAUACGGGGGGUGCAAGCGUUACUCGGAAUCACUGGGCGUAAAGAGCAUGUAGGCUGGUUUGUAAGUUGGAAGUGAAAUCCUAUGGCUUAACCAUAGAACUGCUUCCAAAACUGCAGACCUAGAAUAUGGGAGAGGUAGAUGGAAUUUCUGGUGUAGGGGUAAAAUCCGUAGAGAUCAGAAGGAAUACCGAUUGCGAAGGCGAUCUACUGGAACAUUAUUGACGCUGAGAUGCGAAAGCGUGGGGAGCAAACAGGAUUAGAUACCCGUGUAGUCC